ACUCCUACGGGAGGCAGCAGUGAGGAAUAUUGGUCAAUGGGCGCAAGCCUGAACCAGCCAUGCCGCGUGCAGGAUGACGGUCCUAUGGAUUGUAAACUGCUUUUGUACGGGAGAAACACUCCUUCAGUGAAGGAGGCUUGUACGGGUACCCGUAAGAAAUAAGGAUCGGCUAACUCCGUGCCAGCAGCCGCGGUAAUACGGAGGAUCCAAGCGUUAUCCGGAAUCAUUGGG
rnacentral:rRNA from 1 species